GUGUCAGCCGCCGCGGUAAUACGGAAGGGGCGAGCGUUGUUCGGAAUCACUGGGCGUAAAGCGCGCGUAGGCGGCUUGGCAAGUGCGGCGUGAAAGUCCUGGGCUCAACCUGGGGACGGCGCUGCGGACUGCCUGGCUGGAGUCCGGAAGAGGGUGGUGGAAUUCCGAGUGUAGAGGUGAAAUUCGUAGAUAUUCGGAGGAACACCGGUGGCGAAGGCGGCCACCUGGUCCGGCACUGACGCUGUAGCGCGAAAGCGUGGGGAGCAAACAGGAUUAGAUACCCCAGUAGUCC
rnacentral:rRNA from 1 species